AAGUCGUAACAAGGUUUCCGUAGGUGAACCUGCGGAAGGAUCAUCAGUGAAAACUGAACUUUUAUUACACCCUUUUGUGCAACCGUAUUGGGUGCGCGAGCACCCAAUAUUUUUUUUCUUAUAAAACAACCCCGUUUUCAUCCUUGUAAACCAUACCAAUCUAUACUUAAAAGACACAACUUUUAACAACGGAUCUCUUGGCUCUC
rnacentral:misc_RNA from 1 species